UUUACAGAUUUCAGCGUGCAUGCCAUAGAAAUGAAAUGGAUAGAAAGGCCAUUGAGCUGUUUCCCGUGGUCAUUUGAUUGGUACACAACAGAAUGCCAACUGUUGUUAGUUGUCAUA